CCCCUCUCAGGAUCACACCUGGAGAGUUUCCAGUACUGUACCAGUCUUGGCUAUGGGAGGGAAAGUCAAGCAGAGGCAUACCUAUUCCAUUCCUAGCUUGGCCAGGGGAUAGUGAGUGGAAGGCAAUCUGCCUCAAGU